GGAGAGGAGAGAGCAGGAGGAGAGAGAUGUGAGCACAAUUAUUCCCCCGCUCCCUCUCAGCCAGACCUCAGGUGGGCAGUGGCCGCCUCCUCCACCUACAGUCCUGUCAGACAGUCUCUCUCCCACAGCCACAGCUUUGUUUGUUGCUCCUUCAGGACGAGGGAAGUUACUGCCCUCCCACAUCGCUACUCCCUGAGUGCUCCGCCAUUGCUCAUCUGUUACCUCAUCCCGGCCAGCACCUUUGUAAAUAAUCCUUCAUUAAACCCUUCAGUCACCAUGUUCGGCAAACCGUCUGUUUUCCGCGGAGCCCUGGCCAGUACAGCAGCCAUGGGAAGGAGGGGAGCAGGGGUCAGCGUUUGUUACAGAGGGGAUACAAGGAGAAAGACGGGGGCUUCUGACACGCAAAAUGGGAUCGUGGAGAAGGAUAAACGCCUUAAAGGCAGCCUCCUUAAAUUGCCUCUUCAGGUUAUUCUUCAGUUAGACUCGUUGCUCAUUUUCCCAUUAAGCAGGUGGGAAGUUGUGCAAGAGACUAGCUCAGCUAAAAACAAAGAUUAUAGGAACCACUGGUUUUCUGCACAUUCCUGGUUGAAGUGCAAUAUCAACCUGUAAGCACUAUGGGAACGUGGCUAACUAAAUGACAGAAUGACGGGAUGGAAUAUUAAUGAUGAUUACAGCAAACCUUAAUAAGCAACAGCUUAUAACAUGCUGCCAAGUGAAAAAGGAAGGCAGGAAACUUACGGUCAUCACGAUCUCAGUUAUGUUAAAAGCAUACACACACGAGCAGAGAAAAAGAGAACUUGUAAGGAAGUCACCAAAAUGUACAAAGAGGUUGCGUUUAGGUGGUGGAAUUAGGGGUGGUACUUAUUUUUUUCCUUUAUAUUUUUUUAAUACUCCAAUUUUUCUACAAUGAGCAUGAAUUGCUUUUGUAUCCAGAAUUUUAUCUGCUUUUUCUAAGAGAACAUGUGCGGCAUGAUCUGCUCACAUUAUCAGGAACGACCCAGACUGAGCGGCAAGUCCCAGCCAGGGCUUCCGUUUCCUGGGCGCCUGGGCCUGGUUAGUGCGGGAACCUUGGCAAACAACUGUCGGGUUAACUCUUUCUUCAGAAGAGAGGAGGAGGUGGUGCCACAGGGACCUUCUGCUGAGGGCUGCCGGUGGGAGUGCGGUCGCUAUCGUGAGUCCUGUCACCCUGGGUACCUACUGCGGAGAUCUGGGGAGUUCUUGUCUUCCAGGCAGGUGUGCGUCGUGCCUCGUGCCUUGUGCUUCGGAAGCCUAGCCGGCCACAGCAGACAUCUAGGCAAGCAGGCCCACAGGGACGGCCUCCUUACCGUCCUGGCUCCCUGAUGACAUCCCUGCAGGCUUCCCUCUUGAAUCAGCCACUGUGAAGUGAGGGCUAGGAGAGAACAGACGACACUUCUUGCCCUGACCGGUCUUCCCUUCCUGUUCUUUCCACCUUUGGCCGAGACACCACACAGAAGUGCAUUUUGGUUCUGUUUACAUUCUCGUCAGAAGGCGUGCUCAUUUCCAGGCAGCGCUUCUCACACAGUGAGGGACGUAAAGAUCAUCUGGGGCCCUUGUUAAAGCACAGGUUCCGACUCGGUCAUUCUAAGGUGGAGCCUGAGACCGGGCCUUUCUAAGAAGCCCCUGAUCCCACGGGAUGGAAGGGGCCCAGUCCUGUAUUCUAGGCUUAGUGGGAUACUGCCGAAUCUGUGAAGAGGAUCAGAACUCCAGUGUCAGAAUUAAUCACUGCUCCCUUCGUUUCCCCAACACCUCGCUCAAACCUUGAUACAGCUGCUGACAGCUGGACUCGCCUGCACCUCUGCCGCCCCGGGGCUGCUGGACAAAUCAUCUUUGGAGCCCUAAUACCUGGCAUGGGGGAUGCUCAGCAGCUUUUUUGAAUAAAGGAACAAACGCAUUAAUGGCUUUUGAAGGCAAUUUACAAAAGAUGUAGGUUGUUAAUAGGUAACAUUCCCCAAACUGUAUUCCCUGGGACACCAGUUCUGGGGGUGUUAAUAGAUAUUUGUUAAAAGAUGGAGGGGAGGUAAGAAGGUUCUGUAGUCACUUAAUCUGGAAAAUGCUGGAUUAAAAAUAGACAUCUGAAGAGCUUCUGGAGGCUAUAAUAGACUCGUGGUCAUUGCUAGUGUCUAGGAGAGGGAUCCAGUAGGCAGCGUUGCCCUCACUAAUAUGACCACAGAGAACUUUCCUGAGAAGCAUCUUAUUGCUUGUGUGCUGAGGAAUACAGGGACAGUCAUGACUCUGGGUAUUCAUCCAAGGAUUGUGGGUAAAAAUUAAGUUACGAAGGAGAUCUAGCUAGCCGGUAAGGGAAGAAGAUGUGAGAACCAAAAAGAAAUAGAGGCUUCCUUUUCUGUUCCCCUUGCCACCUGAGUCAUCAGACUGUGGGGCUCUCUCUGCUCUUCUGGAUUCCUCGGGGAGGAGGACACAAGGAGAAAUUCCGACUCCUUCUUCCUCCUCUGACCCACUGCAGUGGCUGAGAGGGAGAAGCCAGGAAACCAAGAGAGAAGGGAACCAGGAGCACUGCUUGGUGCUCAGUCCGCUAAAAGACUAAGGAUGCCCGUAAGUAUCCCCAGGAAGAGCUGUGCUCCAGCCAGAAGGCAGGGGAGGAUCGGAGUUUUAAAAGGGACCACAUACUGCAAGUGCGUAGCUGGGAUUAGAGUUGAAAUAAACUGACAAAAAGAAAGGAAGAGUCUAGAAAAAGGCCCCAAGUGAAUCCCAGAGUUCAUUUACCUUAAACAGUGGCUCCUAACUCAAGGCGAUUUUGCCCCUCCCAUUCCAUGUUCCUCAGCAUCUGGAGACAUUUUUGGUUGUCACAACAAGGAGGAGGGUGCUACUGGUGUCUAGUGGGGGGUGGCCAGGGAUGCUGCUCAACGUCCUGUAAUGCACAGGACAGCCCCCACAGCAAAGAAUUAUCAGGUCUCAAGUGUCAGUGGUGCCACUGUUGAGGAAUCUUGCCUUAAACAUUGUUCUAACACAUCACCUUGAAGUUAACAUUUAGGAUGUUGCUUAAAUUCAGCCGUUUUACCAUGAACAUUUGGGGAAAAUUUAUUCAGUAGGUGAAAAUCCGUGAUUAUGCAUUUGGAGGUCCAAAUCUCAGUCAGCAAUACUAUUUUGUAUGUUUAAACGACAUCAUAAACAACAUUACACGUUUUGCAAGGAGACAAAAAAAAAUAAACGGACUCACAACAAGUAUUUCCUUUAAUUUAAAAGUUUAGGAGCCAGCCCGGUGGCAUAGUGGUUACACACGCUUCGCUUCAGUGGUCUGAGGUUUGCAAGUUCGGGUCCUGGGUGUGGACCCACACACUGUUCAUCAAGCCAUGCUAUGCCAGCAUCCCACACACAAAAUAGAGGAAGAUGGGCACAGAUGUUAGGUCAGGGACAAUCUUCCUCACCAGAAAAACAUAUACAUAUAUAAAAAAUAAAAUUAAAUAAAAGUUUAGGAUGCUCAGAUUCAGCUGUUUUUUCAUAAAUAAUCUGGGGGAUAUUUAUUAAGUAGAAGGGGAUAAAAAAUACAAAUAAAUAAAUAAGAGCAGAUGUGGGAAGGAUCCCAUUGCAGGCUAUAUAAUUAGAGAACUUCUCAUACAGGUCCACGGGGAGACACGUAAGAGGGUGUUUUAUCACAAAGUUGUUUGUGAUGGUUGGGGAGCUGGAUACAAUGAGGUGUCCAUCAUUGGAAAGUCUUUCAUAAUAAGGAGCAGUAAACUAGCAACCAAUGGUGUAUACAUAGCAACGUAAACAGAUCUUUAACACACGGUGCUGAAGAGGGGAUAAAAACGUCAGGAACAGAGCCCUCUUGCACAAUAGUAUUGAUUGAAAUUAAAAAUACAUGCCCACAAGACAAUGCCUCAUGUUUUCAGGAACACUCAAAUAUAACGAUUCACAAAUCUUGGUCACAGUGCCAACUUUACAGUCUCUUGGGCAUUAGGCACCACUGCCACCUGGUGGUAGCAGUUCACAACUCAGGGUUUUUUUAAAAAUAAGAUGUAAUUCACAUACCAUGAAAUGCAUAAAUUUUAAUUUGAUGAAUUUUGACAUUUGUAAGCAUUAGUGCAAUCACCACUAUAAACAAUAUAUAGAACAUUUCCAUCGUCCCGGAAAGUUCCUUCCUUCCCUUUCUGGGAAGUCCUCCCACUCCUUACCCUAAACGUAACCACUGAUCUGUUUCUGGCACUGUAUAUAAGCUUCGCCUGUUGCAGAACUUCAUACACAUGAAAUUAUACAAUGUGUACUCUUUCGCGCUUUCGGGAAUCAUAAUGUUUUUUGAGAUUCAUCCAUGUUGUGACAUGUAUCAAUAGGUAAUUCAUUUUUAUUGCUGAGUAGUAUUCCGCGGUGUGAGUGUUUCACAGUUCGUCUUUCUAUUCACCAGUUGACGGACAUUCAGGUUGUUUCAACUUUGUGGGUAUUUCAAAUAAAGCUGCCAUGAAUAUUCA